rnacentral:rRNA from 1 species
GACGGAGGAUGCAAGCGUUAUCCGGAAUGAUUGGGCGUAAAGCGUCCGCAGGUGGCAGUUCAAGUCUGCUGUCAAAGACCGGGGCUUAACUUCGGAAAGGCAGUGGAAACUGAACAGCUAGAGUAUGGUAGGGGCAGAGGGAAUUCCUGGUGUAGCGGUGAAAUGCGUAGAGAUCAGGAAGAACAUCGGUGGCGAAGGCGCUCUGCUGGACCAUAACUGACACUCAGGGACGAAA